rnacentral:tRNA from 2 species
CCUACUAAGUGAGAACUUUCAA